rnacentral:rRNA from 1 species
GACGAACGCUGGCGGCGUGCCUAACACAUGCAAGUCGAACGAGACCGUCGGGUCUAGGGGCGCACGGGUGCGUACCGCGUGGGAAGCUGCCCUUAGGUUCCGUACCACUCCCCGAGGGGGGUGCUAAGGACAGAUGAUCUCAUCGGACCUAAGAUCUUUGGCCUUUGGGUGGGGCCGCGUCGGAUUCGCUAGUUGGUAGGGUAUAAGCCUACCAAGGCGACGAUGCAUGGCUGGUCGGAGACGAGGCUCAGUCAGACUGGGAAUGAGACCCGGCCCACUCUCGUACGGGGGGGAGCAGUGGGGAACAUUAUACGCUGGGCGAAAGCCUAAUACCGCAGCGCGGGGUGAGUGAUGAAGGCCUUAGGAUUGCAAAGCUCUUUUAGCCGGGAUGAGAGUGACAGUACCGGGAGAAUAAGCACCGGCUAACUACGUG